AGGUUCAACUUCCAAAAUUUCAGAGCUUGUACUGGUUGGCUGCCCCAUAUCACCAACUUCAAGCACAUUUAAUUGAGAUUCCUUCUCACGCAAAGAUUUCUCAAGAAUUUCUACUCUGCGUGUUAAAUCCUCUACUUUACUUCUCUCUAUUUGCAAUAAUGCAUCCCUGCUCUCCAAUUCAGACAAAACAGAAGUAAUCUUUUUCUCAAUUAUUUCUCUCUGCUCAUGAACCUGACUGCUAUCAUCAAGAUUGACAUCUAGAGAAAACACUGUGGCUAUCCAUGUCAAUAACUCAUAAAGCUCAUCUGAAUUUCUCUUGUUGCUUGUCUGAGACGCAACAAGAGCAUCAUUUGUGCAUCU
rnacentral:misc_RNA from 1 species